GCACUGCUGAGCAGUCGCAUAACAGGACGAAACGGCUGUCUAGUGC
rnacentral:hammerhead_ribozyme from 1 species